UGAGGAAUAUUGCCCAAUGGGGGAAACCCUGAGGCAGCAACGCCGCGUGAACGAUGAAGGCCUUCGGGUCGUAAAGUUCUUUUCUGAGGGAAGAUAAUGACGGUACCUCAGGAAUAAGUCCCGGCUAACUACGUGCCAGCAGCCGCGGUAAAACGUAGGGGACAAGCGUUAUCCGGAUUUACUGGGCGUAAAGCGCCCGUAGGCGGUUUUCUAAGUUGGACGUGAAAGCUCCCGGCUUAACUGGGAGAGGCCGUUCAAAACUGGAAAACUUGAGUCUGGAAGAGGAGAGCGGAAUUCCCGGUGUAGUGGUGGAAUGCGUAGAUAUCGGGAGGAACACCAGUGGCGAAAGCGGCUCUCUGGUCCAGAACUGACGCUGAGGGGCGAAAGCGUGGGGAGCGAACGGG
rnacentral:rRNA from 1 species